UGGUUUCUGAGGUGUACGCGUUAUCUCGUCGUAUGGUUGACCGAACAAUUUUAAAAUUGGUUUUCUUAAGCACUUGUGGAUUGAAGCCUUUUACACGAAGGUAAUUGAAUCAAGUUAUUUGAAUACCACCUGCACUAUUCGCGGGUUCAACUACAGAGAUGAUUAACGGCACUACCGGAUAUUGA
rnacentral:other from 1 species